CGACCCCAGCUCCGGUUCCGACCCCGACCAGCGAGGGCGCCCAAGGCCGUGGACGAGGAUUUGUACAAAAUCCCCCCUGAGCUCCUCCGCCAAAAGCCCAAGAGGAAGAGGAUGCUGAGGAAAUUGUUGUCAGGGUGCCUGGGCCUCAACUGUGUUGCUUGAGAGCUGAGCUUGGAGAGGAACAGGGGGGAUAAGAGAGGAUGGCAGCGUUACAUUAUAUUAAAGAUCCUAGCUUUUGCGUUACAUUAUAUUAAUUUCACUGACGUCUUCAAAAUUCGGAUAAAGACAGCACAAGUAGCAGGGUUAAGUAAACUUUGUAACUGGCCAAUUCUUGUCAUUCAUAAACCAAUGUUGUCAUUUAUACAAGCUUCUACGUUUUAAGCUGAUAAUCAGUACAAAACCUAGUCGUAAUUAUAUGAAUGAACCUUGAAUACGUAAUAAAGUGACUAGAUGGCUAAAAUUACCAAAUAUGUAUUUCUUGUAGAACCCCUAACCAAUUUGGUACUUUUUUUAAGCUACGGCUUCAUUUUGGUUUUUUUUCUUAGCCUGAUGGUGAAAUAGCCCAAACGUCCGCCGACUAAAUUAAGUGUUUUUUUAGGAUGUAUUUCUUGUGCCGUUUGUAGGUAUAAAUCACCAUUGGCAAAGUGUUUUUUAGGAUGUGGCUUGAUCCCAAACGAAGAGGCGAAGUCUUUCAUAUGGUUGUUUAACAAAUGGAUUGAAGCAAUGGGUCAUCCUCCUUCGGGCAUGAUUACAGAUCAAUGUCUUGGCAUAUGCAAGGCAAUUGAAACAGUUUUUCCAGAAAUUCGGCACAGGUUUUGUAUUUGGCAUAUCUUGGACAAAGUUCCGGAGAAGUUGGGUAAAUGGGCUUUAAUAUGGAAUUUAUGAAAUCUUUCAAAGAAAAUAUUUGGGACUCCGAGACUGCUACCUCUUUUGAAGAGAAUUGGGUUUCAAUUCUUAAGAAAAUUGAAGACUUUGUGGUCAAUGGAAAAACAAAUGGCUCAAAUCUACACAAAAAAAAUUGAAGACUUUGUGGUCAAUGGAAAAACAAAUGGCUCAAAUCUACACAAAAAAAAUCUUUUAUAUUUUUCAAGACGAGCUUCAACCUAGCUUAAUGUAUAAUAUUGAGCUAGUAAAAGAAAAUGAAAGAGAAAGUACUUUCCAUUUGAAUUUUUGUGGUCAUGAUGAAAGAGGGGCUAUCUUCUAAUGACGCAUAUGAAUUAAUGCGUGAAAUGAUGAUGGAUGCUAUUAAUAAGGUGUAACGUUUGAAACUCAUCAAUGAUGAAGAAAUUGGACAAGAUGUGGAAGGACAUUAUAUGAAUGCGGAGUGUUCUCAAGAUGUAGUUCAUGAACCAAGUCAAGCAAGAACAAAAGGAAGGCCUAAAGGGAAGAGGUUAAAGCCAUCGAGGGAGAUCCGCAAAUACAAGCCGAGGAAAUGCAAAUUGUGUGGAAAGCGAGAACAAAAUCAUGAUAGCAGAAAUUGCCCUCUAAAGUUGUUAAUGUAGUGUAUCAUUUAUGAGAGUAAUAUUAAUGCUAUUAUUUUUUUAAACUAUUUUAAGUUGGUGCAAUGAUCUUUUAAUAUGUUUUGCUAUCAUCACUUUUUUGUAGUGAUUCAAUGGAACAAGAUAAUAUUGAUGAAGCCACUGAUGAUUUAGAGGAUUCCUUUGAGGAAGAUGAAGUUCUCACUAUUGCGUGAAGUUUCAUCAAGGUGAAAUGUCAUACUCUGAUUGUAGCUACAGGAGCUACUGCUAAAAGGGUUAGAUUACCACGUGAAGAUGAAUUUUGGAGUAGGGGAAUAAGUGCUUGUGCAAUAUGUGAUGGUUCUGUAAUGUUUCUGCUAUCAUCAACUUGGUGUAAUGUUUUUUGCUAGAUGGUUGCUAUCAUUAUAGAUGGUUGCUAACAUCAACUUGGUAUAGCAAUUCCUUUGGCUAAAUUGGUAGAUGUUUUUUGUUCUUCUGUCUUCUUUGAAGUCUGUAGCUUCCGAUUUGCGAUAAAUCAUAUGGUGCAGAUUUUCAUGUU